UUACCAGACUCCUACGGGAGGCAGCAGUGAGGAAUAUUGGUCAAUGGGCGAGAGCCUGAACCAGCCAAGUCGCGUGAGGGACGACGGCCCUACGGGUUGUAAACCUCUUUUGCCGGGGGACAAACGGCGGCACGCGUGCCGUCCUGAGGGUACCCGGAGAAAAAGCAUCGGCUAACUCCGUGCCAGCAGCCGCGGUAAUACGGAGGAUGCGAGCGUUAUCCGGAUUUAUUGGGUUUAAAGGGUGCGUAGGCGGGCUUUUAAGUCAGCGGUAAAAAUUCGGGGCUCAACCCCGGCCGGCCGUUGAAACUGGGGGCCUUGAGUGGGCGAGAAGAAGGCGGAAUGCGUGGUGUAGCGGUGAAAUGCAUAGAUAUCACGCAGAACCCCGAUUGCGAAGGCAGCAUGCCGGCUCCACACUGACGCUGAGGCACGAAAGCGUGGGUAUCGAACAGGAUUAGAUACCCCGGUAA
rnacentral:rRNA from 1 species